rnacentral:tRNA from 1 species
ACCUGACUGGCUCAGUCGGUAGAGCAUACGACUCUUGAUCUUGGGGUCAUGAAUUCAAGCUCCAUGUUGGGCA